AAGCAAAUAAGAGCGUAUGGUGGAUGCCUUGGCUCUCAGAGGCGAUGAAGGACGUGAUAAGCUGCGAUAAGCUGGGGGGAAGUGCGUAAUAACUUACGAUCCCCAGAUUUCCGAAUAGGACAACCCAACAUGUUGAAGACAUGUUAUCCGUAAGGAGGCCAACCCAGGGAACUGAAACAUCUAAGUACCUGGAGGAAGAGAAAACAAUUGUGAUUCCCCAAGUAGUGGCGAGCGAACGGGGAACAGCCCAAACCACAUCGAUUAAGGUCGGCGUGGGGUUGUAGGACUGCAAUGUGGACUAUAAAUUGAUAAUGGAACUUUUUGGAAAAUUAGGCCAUAGAGGGUGAUAGCCCCGUACAUGAAAUCGAUUUAUUACCUAGCAGUAUCCUGAGUAGAGCGGGACCGGAGAAAUCCUGCUUGAAUCCACCGGCACCAUCCGGUAAGGCUAAAUACUCCUGAGAGACCGAUAGCGAACUAGUACCGUGAGGGAAAGGUGAAA
rnacentral:rRNA from 1 species